rnacentral:rRNA from 1 species
ACUCAAAUGAAUUGACGGGUCCCCGCACAAGCGGCGGAGCAUGCGGCUUAAUUCGAUGCGACCCGAAGAACCUUACCUGGGUUUGACAUCAUGGGAAAAGCCGUAGAGAUACGGUGUCCGAAAGGGCCCAUGACAGGUGGUGCAUGGCUGUCGUCAGCUCGUGUCGUGAGAUGUUGGGUUAAGUCCCGCAACGAGCGCAACCCUUGUCUUAUGUUACCAGCGGGUUAUGCCGGGGACUCAUAAGAGACUGCCGGGGACAACUCGGAGGAAGGUGGGGACGACGUCAAGUCAUCAUGCCCCUUAUGCCCAGGGCUGCACGCAUGCUACAAUGGCCAGUACAACGGGCUGCGAUCCCGCGAGGGUGAGCGAAUCCCUUAAAGCUGGCCUCAGUUCAGAUUGGAGUCUGCAACUCGACUCCAUGAAGUCGGAGUCGCUAGUAAUCGCGAAUCAGCAAUGUCGCGGUGAAUGCGUUCUCGGGGAUUGUACACACCGCCCGU